CUUUUAUAACCACCUCGCGCACUCACUUCCAGGCUUCUGUCAGAUCGGGCCUGACUAUCUCUGAGCUCCUGCCAGUUUGGAUGUCAUCCCUUCUGGCCGGGCAGAACCGCCACUGCUCCUUUUGUCAGAGCCGUUUCUGCGGCUGGUGACGACGGUGGCAGGUGGCGGCGGCAGGAGGCCGUUUGAAGUGCGGCUGUCAAGCAUCAGAUCCCAAAUCAGUCAAGUGCGCCGCCCUUGGAAACGGACAUCCUUGGUGUCAGGUAUGGUACGCUUGGUCAGUCUGGCGUUUUGGAGGCGAAGUGCCGAAGUAACGGGGGGGAUAAAGUCUUGAGUUCGGUUUGGGGAGUGUUCCGAGCUGCCAUGGGCCAGCUCGGGUCACGGCUUUGUGAGGUUUAGGGCCCAGGAGAGAGUUCGGGCUCCUUGCAGGGAGCUCGGGUCCUUAGUAGUGAGCUCGGGCUCCUAGCAGGGAGCUCGGGUUCUUAGUAGGGAGCUCGUGCUCCUGGACUGUUGGUUUUCUUUUGGUGCUUGUGUUUUGGGCGCUCUGUUGCCCCGAGCUGUUUGCUUUUGCCACGCGUCGAGUGAUGGCGAGGUCGGGCCAAAUUUCCCUUCAUCACAAACAAAUAAGACAGCCAAAUCUAAAG